UAACAGGGAAGCUUGCUUCCGCUGACGACCGGCGCACGGGUGCGUAACGCGUAUGCAACCUACCUCAUACUGGAGAAUAGCCCUUGGAAACGAGGAUUAAUGCUCCAUAGUAUCACAGAUUCGCAUGUUUUUGUGAUUAAAGAAUUUCGGUAUGAGAUGGGCAUGCGUCCCAUUAGCUUGUUGGUGAGGUAACGGCUCACCAAGGCAACGAUGGGUAGGGGGCCUGAGAGGGUGACCCCCCACACUGGUACUGAGACACGGACCAGACUCC
rnacentral:rRNA from 1 species